AUUUUUAUUUACUAUAUAUAAUUCAUAUAAUUCUAGAAUGUGAAAAAAAUCAAAUUUUGAUCAACACCAAAUUUGUGACAUUAACAUAAAAAUUUGUCGUUCUUACAAAGUAUCAAGUGCACCACUACGGCACUACAUUAUAUCUAAAAUACAUAACGGAAAGUAACUAAAGCUAAUUCGUCGGAAUAUAAUUAUCUGCUAGUCUUCAUCUCUUCCAUCUUCAUCAAUGUGUGGACUUGGAUAAUUUGUUUGAUCUUGAACCUAUCGAAAAUAUAUAUAUAUAAGUUAUAAACUCAACUUAAUAGAUGUCAUCAACUAAAAACAAGCUAUUUUAUUUAGUCCAAUCUAACCACAACACAACCAUGUAUCAUAAAUUAUAUUCAAGCUAAGUCUCAGUGCUGCAAGAUAAAAACAUAAGUGAAAUUCUAGUAUAGCAGAACCAGAUGUUGUACAGAAUGUCGAGACAUCUGGUCUGACAUGAACAAUACGGCAAGGCAUAUAACAUUAAAAACGGAUACUGAGAAAUAAUGUUUGAUCAGAU
rnacentral:lncRNA from 1 species